rnacentral:lncRNA from 1 species
GACGCCUUCUUUCCACCGAGGGAUGUUACAGCUAGGGUUCUUUGCCGUCGACGACGAAAGCAACGGCCGAUAAUGUCCCCGGCGGCUCCAACACAACAGCCGAUAAUGUCCCCUCCUCCACGCUGUCGCAAUCCAUCGGGAAAUCGUCGUGGAUGAUUGAAGGCGCCGUAUUCUAUGAUUUCGCAGCAUUCUUGAAAUCUUCUUGUUGAGUCCUUGCAAUCAAUUUGAUCUUUAUCUUUUGGUUGUGAGGCGCAAAGAGCUCUGAUAACUGGUUAUGAGGUAAAAUCGCUCUCUCUCUCCCUUUAAGGAAAGUUCUUGAAGUGAAGUUUGAUGAUUGAUAGUGUGAUCAAAUUAAAGUUUCUUUUAGGUUAUCCUCAACGACCAUUAUGGUCGAUUAUUUGACGGGAGAAGGUGAGCCGCAUUAGUGCAUCUUUUGUAGUAGAUAAGGAUUGUGGUUGAGCAAAGCAAAGGAUAACUUUAGGGUUUGUUGCUAAUGCACAAUUAUGCUAGUUUUCUCGUCUGUCGUCAGCAAAUCUCGGCCACCGUAUUAAGCCAUGAUAUCAAGUUGUUCCGAAAGAUUUAAUACUGGAGGUUGUCCAGCUAAUGCUGGUUCAUGUUGAUUCUGCUGUUUGUGUCUUGCCAUGAGCCUUUGCAUGACAUGCUCAUCUAAAAAUUCUCUGUUCCAGGGUAUGUUGGUUGAAUUGACCUGCACAUAAGUGUCCUUGCAUGGUUGACACAACUAAUCUUCAUAAGCUAUAUCAUAUGUACUUGUGUUUUUAAUCUAUCUUACACUAGCUUGAAUGCUCUCUUAAAAUGACAGCAAGUGACACAGCUUUUGACAGGUUUUAUAUUACAAAUUAGAAUGAGAGAGGCAGAGUGUGAAGUCCGUCUACAUUCCAUUAGUAUCAAGAAUUAGUGUCUUUAGCUUAUUGUUAUAAUAAGGUAUUAAGAUGUAGUUGCAGAACAUCAGCCAAAACCUAACAAAAAAUAAACUCAUCUUUCCUUGGUGAACUCUGUUUCUCAAUUCAGGGCUUUCAGUGAUUGAGAUCUCAUCUCAACGGCUCUUUAGCUGUACCAUCAUCUAUCAUGGGCUCACCAGAGGAACAAGCAGUACACUGCAGUGGAUGAAUCUAUCCCCUAGUCACCCAACAAAGGAGAGCUAUAUGAGAUAAGUCAUUUAUGUUUCGUUCUCUCCUGUUCUACUUAUGUCUUCUGUCUCUUUUUUAUCUGAGGUGAAGUUUCUUCUCUAGAUGGAUGCAAAUUCAUGAUGAAUACAUGACAGAUGCAAAUUCAUCAUAGAUUUUAGGUAGGUAUAGAUAUAAAUAUCAUACAGAAUUAGGAUGGUAUGACACAAAUGAUUAAAAUACUAAUGUGAAUCUCUUAUCUUAUUCUUGUUAAACCAAAUUAUUCAUGCAACUUGAUCCAGCUUGACAAAUAUGAGGUAUUUAUUAUGUUAUGUUGCUUUAGGAUUGAGACAGAUCAAAUAUAAGGUUGGGGUUAAAUCAGUGUUGGCCUACCACCCCAUCCAGCCUACUCGCAAUUUAACUGCUACCACCACCAUUGAUUGAUGCGAUUCCUUUUUCUGCCCUUUAAUGAAAGGGAGACAUGGCUAGAUCCUCUGAUUUCGGCCAACAAGUUUGACUCUUCCCCAACUUGUUCUGCAGACCCAACAAAGUUGUUCAAAUAUAUC